rnacentral:rRNA from 1 species
CCUACGGGAGGCAGCAGUGAGGAAUAUUGGUCAAUGGACGAGAGUCUGAACCAGCCAAGUAGCGUGAAGGAUGACUGCCCUAUGGGUUGUAAACUUCUUUUAUAUGGGAAUAAAAUGUUCCACGUGUGGGAUUUUGUAUGUACCAUAUGAAUAAGGAUCGGCUAACUCCGUGCCAGCAGCCGCGGUAAUACGGAGGAUCCGAGCGUUAUCCUGAUUUAUUGGGUUGAACGGGAGCGUAGGUGGAUUGUUAAGUCAGUUGUGAAAGUUUGCGGCUCAACCGUAAAAUUGCAGUUGAAACUGGCAGUCUUGAGUACAGUAGAGGUGGGCGGAAUUCGUGGUGUAGCGGUGAAAUGCUUAGAUAGCACGAAGAACUCCGAUUGCGAAGGCAGUUCACUGGACUGCAACUGACACUGAGGCUCGAAAGUGUGGGUAUCAAACAGGAUUAGAUACCCUGGUAGUC